rnacentral:lncRNA from 1 species
UGUCAAGACAGUUUCUCAGUAUCUGAGAAGAACAGACAAUGCUCUGCUGGAUCACCAGUGGUUUAUCUAAAUAUAGGAGAGCCUGGGUGACUCGGGCAGUUGCCUUGUAACAGUUUAUUGGGCAUUGGAAGUCUUGGGACUGUCGAAGACAUGACAGAGAACUGGAUUGUUAAAGUUAUUUUCUUUCUGACUUUUUAUGCUAGUCUGAGUCUGGCGAUUAACGAAAGUGGUUCUAAUUUCACUGGAACAACGCCACUGUCAACGCAUAUAACAUCGACUAAUCCUUUGGGAGUAAUGGGUAAUUCACUAUCAUGCUCAUUUGUAAAAACUUUAAAAAAUGUCAGUUUUAAUGCUUCUCUGUUUGAUGUGUUAGAAAGACAUGAACAAAGCAAGAAACAGACUGUGUGGACUGGUACAGAAACCCUGUAUUAAAAUUAUUUGGAAAUACAGAAAUAAGAACAGAUAUUUGAAUGCCAUUACAAAUUAAUUAAAUCAAAUUAGGGAAUAGAACUAUUCUAGAGCAAUCACGCUUGUUCUUCAUGAGAGUUCAGUCCAUAAGUAUUUGGACUACUAAGUUAAAUUUUUUAUUUUUGCUUUACAAUCAGGGAAUUUGAAGAUUUAUAUGAGUGAUAUAAUAAUAUACUGUAG